UACGGAAGGCAGCAGGUGGGGAAUAUUGCACAAUGGGCGAAAGCCUGAUGCAGCUAUGCCGCGUGUAUGAAGAAGGCCUUAGGGUUGUAAAGUACUUUCAUCGGGGAGGAAAAAACAAAACUAAUAAUUUUAUUUCUUGACGUUACCCGAAAAAGAAGCACCGGCUAACUCCGUGCCAGCAGCCGCGGUAAUACGGAGGGUGCUAGCGUUAAUCAGAAUUACUGGGCGUAAAGAGCACGUAGGUGGUUUUUUAAGUCAGAUGUGAAAUCCCUGGGCUUAACCUAGGAACUGCAUUUUGAAACUGAAAUACUAGAGUAUCGUAGAGGGAGGUAGAAUUCUAGGUGUAGCGGUGAAAUGCGUAGAUAUCUGGAGGAAUACCUGUGGCGAAAGCGGCCUCCUAAACGAAUACUGACACUGAGGUGCGAAAGCGUGGGGAGCAAACAGGGAUUAGAUACC
rnacentral:rRNA from 1 species